rnacentral:rRNA from 1 species
GAUGAACGCUGGCGGCGUGCCUAACACAUGCAAGUCGAACGGACUUACAUUGAAGCCUAGCGAUAUGUAAGUUAGUGGCGGACGCGUGAGUAACGCGUGGGUAACCUGCCUUGUACUGGGGGACAACAGUUGGAAACGACUGCUAAUACCGCAUAAGCGCACAGCUUCGCAUGAAGCAGUGUGAAAAACUCCGGUGGUACAAGAUGGACCCGCGUCUGAUUAGCCAGUUGGCAGGGUAACGGCCUACCAAAGCGACGAUCAGUAGCCGGCCUGAGAGGGUGAACGGCCACAUUGGGACUGAGACACGGCCCAAACUCCUACGGGAGGCAGCAGUGGGGAAUAUUGCACAAUGGGGGGAAACCCUGAUGCAGCAACGCCGCGUGAGUGAAGAAGUAUUUCGGUAUGUAAAGCUCUAUCAGCAGGGAAGAAAAAUGACGGUACCUGACUAAGAAGCCCCGGCUAACUACGUG